AUGGCUACGACGCCGGCCAAGGUGGCCCGUGGGGCUGACCAUGGGCGGUGGUCGGAAGGCGGUGGCCUCUCCCCCCAGGAGUGGCGCACCAUCAAGCGGCGCGGGGUCGAGCUCCUCCGUCGCGCGAAGGACCCGGAGGCCUGUCUGAGGCGACUGAGGGAGCGGGCGGCGGAGUUCUUGGGAGGUGGAUCCAAGUCCUUUAAGGAUGCAGAGAAAGAGAUUAAGGAGAGUCCAUCGGUGGAGGAGCCGCUGAUUCCGUUGGCUCCCAAUGCUCUCCCACCAAAUCUGGAGCUUAAUGGAGUAAAACGGAAAGGAUUUCUUACGGCUUGGGAGGACCGCCACUUGUCUUGGUCUUGUUUAAGAGACCUUCACCGGCAGCAUCAGAUGCCCUGGAUAGUACUAGGUGAUUUCAAUGAGAUUAAGCUAAAUUCAGAAAAAGAGGGAGGAAACCCCCGCCCAGUGCAUAUGCUUAAGGCGUUUAGAGACUGUUUAGAUGACUGCGAGCUUCAGGAUAUGGACUAUAUUGGGGAUAAAUACACCUGGAGACGCGCUGAUGUUCGUGAACGACUGGAUCGUGCUGGGUGUAAUAGUCACUGGACUUUAGAUUAUCCCAAUGCUGCAGUCAUCCAUGAGAAGCACUACAGGUCUGACCAUAGGCCUAUUUUGGUUGACACAGAAUAUUAUAAGACAGGCCAGAUUAGACGUCGUUCCGGGGAAAAAAAUUUGAAGCUAGGUGGUUAUUUGAUGAUACUGUAA
rnacentral:rRNA from 1 species